AGCGAACGCUGGCGGUAGGCCUAACACAUGCAAGUCGAACGGCAGCACAGGAGAGCUUGCUCUCUGGGUGGCGAGUGGCGGACGGGUGAGGAAUACAUCGGAAUCUACUCUGUCGUGGGGGAUAACGUAGGGAAACUUACGCUAAUACCGCAUACGACCUACGGGUGAAAGCAGGGGACCUUCGGGCCUUGCGCGAUUGAAUGAGCCGAUGUCGGAUUAGCUAGUUGGCGGGGUAAAGGCCCACCAAGGCGACGAUCCGUAGCUGGUCUGAGAGGAUGAGCGGCGACACUGGAACUGAGACACGGACAAGACUCCUACGGGAGGCAGCAGUGGGGAAUAUUGGACAAUGGGCGCAAGGCUGCUCCAGCCAUGCCGCGUGGGUGAAGAAGGCCUUCGGGUUGUAAAGCCCUUUUGUUGGGAAAGAAAUCCAGCUGGCUAAUACCCGGUUGGGAUGACGGUACCCAAAGAAUAAGCACCGGCUAACUUCGUGCCAGCAGCCGCGGUAA
rnacentral:rRNA from 1 species